GAAACGUCUAUCAAGGAUCACUUUUGUACUCUAACCGGCUUGAGGCAGGGGAAACUGCGUUUGCAGGCAGGCAGAUGAAAUAAGGACAUUAUCAGAUAAAAGAGAACUGAGAAUUUGUCGUCAGCAUCCCCAUACUACAAGAAAUGCCAGCGUAGUUUCUUCAGGUUGAAGGGAAAGAAUACCAGAGGAAAACUUGAAUCUUCAGGAAGGAAUGGCAUCAUUGGAAAUGACUAUUAUGCUGAUCCAUUAUAUUGAUGAUAUCAUGAAGAUCUGAGGUAAAAAGGAGAAAACAGUGAGAAUGGUGGAAGCCUUAAGAAGGUAUAUGUGCACCAGUGGGCAGAAGAAAUCCCUACAGAAUUUCAGCAGCUGGCCAAAAUGAUAUUCUACCAAAUAAAAAAAGGUGACCUUGACUCUUCAAAAUUAUCAAAAGAAGAAUGAGGAACUGUUCCAGAUUAAAGACAUGACAACCAAACAACGUGAUUCUGUACUGGAUCCUUCACUGAGCUGGGG